rnacentral:rRNA from 1 species
GACGUAGGAGGCGAGCGUUGUCCGGAUUCACUGGGCGUAAAGAGCACGCAGGCGGUUUGGCAAGUCGGAUGUGAAAACCCGAAGCUCAACUUCGGGCCUGCAUCCGAAACUGCCCGACCAGAGGUAGGUAGGGGAGAUCGGAAUUCCUGGUGUAGCGGUGAAAUGCGCAGAUAUCAGGAGGAACACCGGUGGCGAAGGCGGCAUCCUGGACCGGCAUUGACGCUGAACAGCGAAAGCCAGGGGAGCAAACGGG